AUGUAGCUGAGCAGUGUUACAGGACCAUGGACAGCUCUUUCACCGACUUCCCCUGCCUCACUGUGUCACCCAUUUUGACAUCAUGGAUGUGCCAGAAACAAAACAAGUCGCAGGAACAACGCCAACGUCCUCAGUGAUAAUGUUACAGUGCUGCAGCCUGAGAGAGGACACAAGGCUGCUUCAGCCUCAUCACAUAAAGGCAGGCG